CUUUCUUCUCUUCUAGUAGGUGUGAAUAUGCUGGAAAACUGGAUGCUGUUUUCAGUAUUGGAGAACUAGACACGUUGAUACCGCUUUUGUCAUGCUUAAGGAUGGACAAACUAUGGCUGUGCACAAUGAAGUGUGUGGUUUAUGGCCCCCCAGAGCUUCAGAAGAUUUUGGUAGAACAAAAGCUGCAGCUAGCAAGCUUGGUGAAUGCAGUAGGGACAGCUCCAGAUGAAGGGGGGAAAAAAAAAAAAAAAAGGAAGCCUUUCCAUCCCACCCCUGGACAAGCCUGCUCCAAGGAGACUACGCUAAACAACACCAGGGGAAACAUGAUUCCUUUAAGAGACUUAGCAAUACCUGUUUUCACUCAGAGCCUGUUCCUGGGCUCGGAUUCCGAAGUCACAAUGGUGCUUUUCUUUUGGUCUUAACCAGCUGCAGUACGAAGGGGGCAGCAAAUUCCCUGGAUCCAGCAUGUUACCUUGAAGAGCUUUGCUGAAUUCCUGCCGAAUGUUUGGCUUUAUGCAACCAGCAAGCUCUUCCAUCAGCUGGAAGCCUGCAUGGAAUUUGCUGCUUGUAUCCUUACCCGACCCGGGCAUUCAGCAAACAUUCCUCCGGCAGGCUGUCAUGUUUCUCCAUGCCCUGAUCAGCAGACGCUCACACAUUCCUUCCUCUGGCCAAGCUGCCUUCAGCUUCCUGCCAGUCUGAAAUAGCUCUGUGGAGCUUCUGCUGUGACAGGUUUUUCCCCUGAUGUCCCUGAGACUGAGUGAGGUGAGUCUGGCCGGGCUUGACCCACGAGGUGGAGCUCUGCUGAUAGCCAUGAUGCUAAUUGCAAUUUGCAGCGUAUCAUGGAAUCCCAGACUGGUUUGGGUUGGAAGAGACCUCAAAGCCCAUCCAGUUCCACCCCCCUGCCAUGGGCAGGGACACCCUCCACCAGCCCAGGUUGCCCAAAGCCCCAUCCAACCUGGCCUUGAACACUGCCAGGGAGCCAGGGGCAGCCACAGCUUCUCUGGGCACCCUGUGCCAGGGCCUCAGCACCCUCACAGGGAAGGAUUUCUUCCUCAGAUCUCAUCUCAGUCUCCCCUCUUUUAGUUUAAAGCCAUUCCCCUCAUCCUGUCCCUCCCUGCCCUUGUCACCAGUCCCUCUCCAGCUUUUCUGGAGCCUCUUCAGGGACCGGAAGGUGCUCUAAGGUCUCCCCGGAGACUUCUCUUCUCCAGGCUGAACAACCCCAAAUUUCACCUUUCAGGAGCAUUCCUGGUACAAGAGAAUUAGGGCACUGUGGACUAGCUGCAAAACCUGCUGCUGCUUACCACUCAUGCUGGCUUCCCUGCGAAGAAGAGUCAAGCUCCAUUUCAGUGGCAUCCUGGGUUUAAGUCCUGAUGUCUUGGUAUUCUCUGUAUCACACCAAGAAACAACUGUCCUCUCUCUAGUUGUUUUUUUCUCCUUUAACAACACGUUUGAUGUCGGGGUACUGCCCAGCAAGAGGCUUUGCCAGCUCAUGGGAAUGUGAUUGUCAUCACUCUACCAAUAUUGUCAGCUGGUGUGGUCUCCUCUGGGUGAGUAGCAUUUUGGCAGCCUGCUGUGCCACUGAUGGGCCCGUUCUUGUGCUGGGCUGAACCCUCAGUUCUGGACCAGAUCACUUCAUGUAGAACCUGUGAAACAGCAAGAGAGACUCUGUGCUGAACGCUCUACAGUCUCUUGUAAGCAAGGUUGAGCUUCUCUGGUAUUGUCAGUUCAUUCAGCGAAGAGUUAUGACCUUGCUUAAAUUAUGCAGAGCUGUAUUACACUACCAAACUAGCUUCCCUUCUGUUUCCAGCACGUUGCAGAUUCCUCUAAUGUUGGUGCCCAGUUCAGUGCAAUAUCCCUUUCCAAUAAAAGGUGGCAUCAGAGAGAGGGGAAGCCCUGCACAUCAGUGCCAGAGCAGCUGGGACUAAGAACAAAUGCUGCUUUUCCUGUGGUUGGGAUUGAGAAAAUGGAGUUACGCCUGCUUCCUGCUCAGAGCACUACUUGGUGUGGGUAAAUUGUGUAGGAAGUGAUGAAAACGCCUGGGAAAAGGGAGAAGUCUGAUGACAGACGUGUUCUUGUAGGGUUUGGUGUUACAUUGCUGGAAAUGUAUCCAGAGAUGUGGGUGAAGCACUUGAACUUUUCAAAAUAAUUAAUAGAAUUAAUUUGAGAAUUGAUGUGAAACCAGGCAGGACUAACCUGGAAGAGUAUGCUAUAGGCAGCAGUCCUGUGCUAGGGUAGGACUUGCUAGAAAGUCCUUUACAAAUAUGAAUAUACUGAAAUAAAUAGGGAUAUUCCUUCAAAAGUUAGCCUUUGGGAAUACCUGCUGUUCUUUCUGUUCCUAUCAACUUCCUGCAGACUUGUUUGAAAACCCAUUGAACGUAGAUUUAAAUACCCAAGGUGAAAGCUGGUGGGAAAAGAAAUUUCCAUUCUUUGGGAAAUGCUGACACUUCAGAAUGUGUUGCUAUCCAAAAUUGGGUCAGAAGACAAAUUUCAAGGUCUUGUCUGUAAUAGAGAUUUGAAAGCCACUGUUUACAGAAAAUGGAACUGAAUAGAAUUGCUAUGAUGCAUUAAAAGCCUAAAUGAAAAAAAAAAAAAGGACCAUUUUAAAAACACAACCCCCCCUCUAGCUGAAAAGAUUUCAGAAGUGUACAGUGGCCUCAGAAUAAUGCCUAAUUGAUUUAGCUACUACUUGUUGACAGAAGAACUGUUUCAGCUAGCUCAGACCAGUGUUACUAUUUCACUGCUAACUGUUCGCACCACAGAUGCUCUGAAUCUUCUGACACAGCAGAGGUCGGGAAUUUUAAUUGAGCUGUUGUUUUUUAUGAAGAAUUGUUUUUAGUAUCUGGUUACUCCUUAGGACAUUAAGGAAUAUGGAGUAAUUGUUGCUGCAGAUCUAGAUGGUUUUUAAGUGUGUGCCUUGGUUUGAGCUGCUGUAGUUAGGAGCUUUAAGAAUAUCGAGCCGCUGGAAAAGCAGUUGCUGGAUGCUGAAGGGUUAAGAUGGGCGAUACCUGAAUAGCUGAGGAGCUGGCAAAUGCUACAAACUCUAGAAAGGGGUGUAAGUUUGAAGAUGCUGUACUGUAAGACCCUGCGCUCCUCUGUUUGUAGAAUGCUUAGCGCUGUGAGGCUCCGAAUCAAACUGGGGUGCUUAAAACCUGCUGUGAUCACACCGGAUUAUUUAACACUGGUAUUGAUACAGUUCUCAAUAUUUGUUCUCUAGGAACGUCCUGAGAAAGCAUUCCUGUUCCUAAUCCACCUCCUUCCUUGCAACCCUGGCUAGAUUUCCCCCUCUACCCCCAAUUCUUUUCUCUUUGCAGUCCUUCUGCUCAGAUUACAAGACAAGCCCAUGAUAUCACCCGCUAUGAGCUGAGGCUAAAGGGGCUGGGUCUUGGGAGGGGUUUGCUUGACUAACUCUAGUGAAAUUUGCCAGGAAGCAGCAGCUUCUCGCAGCAUAUUUCUCUGGCUGCAGGAUAUUUUCCAGCGCAGAGGGGACCACUCAGACGGCGCGCUCAGCCCAGAAGAAAGAACUUCAUGAAGCACGACAAGGCAGAGGUCACCCCCAGCACAGCCUACCACUAACUCCAAGGACAGCCACACAGUACCUACCUGCACUGAUUGGCAGCUGCUAGCAGAGGAUUUGGCUCUGAGAACUGUGAGCACUGAAAAAUGGCAAGAUUCCUGGGUUUUACCCAUAACCACUGUUUCAUCAUGCUGUUCUUCACCUCCCUGAGCCCGCUGGGCUUUGCCCAGUACGAAAACUGGUCCUACCUCCCCAGUUACCCUGAGCCACCCCCACAAGUGUACCAGCCCCCCCAGAGGCCGGCAAAUGUUCCCAAAAUCCAGCUGCGGCUUGCGGGGCAGAAGAGAAAACACAACGAAGGCAGAGUGGAGGUGUUUUACAGCGGCGAGUGGGGCACGGUGUGUGACGAUGACUUCUCCAUCCAUGCUGCACACGUGGUCUGCAGGGAGCUGGGCUACGUGGAGGCAGUGUCUUGGCUACCAAGCUCAAAGUAUGGAAAAGGAGAAGGGAAAAUUUGGAUGGACAAUGUCCACUGUAAUGGCAAGGAGACCACCCUGGCAGCAUGCACUUCAAAUGGCUGGGGAGUAACUGACUGCAAACACACCGAAGACGUGGGAGUGGUCUGCAGUGAAAAGAGAAUCCCUGGCUUCAAGUUUGACAACUCAUUGCUUAACCAAAUAGAGAACAUGAACAUCCAGGUGGAGGACAUACGGAUCCGUGCCAUCCUCGCCACCUACCGCAAGCGGGUGCCUGUCACAGAGGGUUAUGUGGAGGUGAAAGACGCAGGGACAUGGAAGCAGGUCUGCGACAAGCACUGGACCAUGAAAAAUUCCCGAGUUGUCUGUGGCAUGUUUGGAUUUCCGAGUGAGAGGAAAUACAACACCAAUGUCUACAAGAUGUUUGCCAGCAGAAGGAAGCAGCAUUACUGGGCUUACUCGAUGGACUGCAGUGGGAAUGAGGCUCAUGUCUCCAGCUGCAAACUGGGCAACCACCUCAACAUGGAUGCAGAGAAGAACGCAACGUGUGACAACGGGAUGCCCGCAGUAGUCAGCUGUGUCCCUGGACGCGCCUUUGCCCCCAGCAGCCACAGUGGCUUCCGAAAAGCCUUCAGGCAGGAGCAGCCGCUGGUGAGGCUGAAAGGAGGAGCCAACACUGGCGAAGGACGAGUUGAAGUGCUGAAAAACGGGGAGUGGGGAACAGUUUGCGAUGAUAACUGGAACCUGGUGUCGGCCAGCGUGGUCUGCCGAGAGCUGGGCUUCGGGAGCGCCAAGGAAGCAAUAACGGGCGCAAGGCUCGGACAAGGCAUGGGUCCAAUUCAUCUAAACGAAAUUGACUGUACGGGCUUUGAAAAAUCAGUCACGGACUGCAAGUUCAACAUGGAGUCGCAGGGCUGUAACCAUGAGGAAGAUGCUGCUGUGAGGUGCAACGUUCCAGCGAUGGGUUUCCAGAAUCAGCUGCGUCUGAGCGGCGGCCGCAACCCGUACGAGGGCCGGGUGGAGGUCCUGGCAGAGCGCAAUGGCACGCUGAAAUGGGGCACCGUCUGCAGCGAGAACUGGAGCACCGUGGAGGCCAUGGUGGUGUGUCGGCAGCUGGGCCUGGGGUUUGCCAGCCAUGCCUUCCAGGAAACCUGGUACUGGCAUGGAGACAUCACCGCUGACAACGUAGUCAUGAGCGGCGUCAAGUGUUCGGGGACCGAGAUGUCCCUGGCCCACUGUCGUCACGAUGGAGCUGAUGUCUCCUGUCCCAGAGGAGGUGGUCGUUUUGGUGCUGGUGUGUCCUGCUCAGAGACUGCCCCUGACCUGGUGCUCAACGCCGAGCUGGUGGAGCAGACGGCCUACCUGGAGGACCGCCCCAUGUUCAUGCUGCAGUGCGCGCUGGAGGAGAACUGCCUGGCCAGCUCGGCCGUCAACACCUCCAUCACUUCUGGGUACCGGCGCCUGCUGCGCUUCUCCUCCCAGAUCCACAACAACGGGCAGUCUGACUUCCGCCCCAAAAACGGCCGCCACGCCUGGGUCUGGCACGACUGUCACCGGCAUUACCACAGCAUGGAGGUUUUUACCCACUACGAUCUAUUGAACCUCAACGGAACCAAGGUGGCUGAAGGACACAAAGCCAGUUUCUGCCUGGAAGACACGGAAUGCGAAGCAGAUGUGCAAAAACAGUAUGAAUGCGCCAAUUUUGGUGAACAGGGAAUCACAGUGGGGUGCUGGGAUGUGUACCGUCAUGACAUCGACUGCCAGUGGAUCGAUAUUACUGAUGUCCCACCAGGCGAUUACCUCUUCCAGGUUGUCAUCAACCCAAACUAUGAAGUUGCUGAAUCCGAUUAUUCAAAUAACGUGAUGAAAUGCAGGAGCCGGUACGAUGGGCAGCGCAUCUGGAUGUACAACUGCCACAUAGGUGGCUCCUUCAGUGAGGAAACGGAACAGAAGUUUGAUCACUUCAGCGGACUCACAAAUAACAAGGUGUCCACCCGAUAGAACAGCAUCGCCUCCCACCCCACUAUUUAAAGAAGCAAGGUUUCCUGCUUCAGUGAUUUUUUUUCCCUAACCACUGCACAAGAAAGAAAAUCAAGCAAACAAUCAAACUCUAAAUUAGCAAGGUAAAUUAUUUUCUAAAGAUGCCUUCCUUCCCAGUUUAGGUGCUCACUCCAGCCCCUCUAACCGAGGUAGUUAGGAGCAGGCUUUUAAACUCUACUUGGCUCCGUAUCUUCACCAUUCCAACCUUCUCCACAAAGAUUUCUCCCUCCACUUUUUGCAGCACCAUCUUUACUCACAGAUGUAGGUCCUGGCUGCAGCGAGCACACUUUGCCUUUGGGUACCAACAACCUAAAUAUGUCUUUACGGUUCAUUUCCUUCAAGGCAUUAAUCUUGGUAUCUUUAAGCUCUUUAACUCAAGCUUGAAACGCACCAUUGAUGCAAACGCCUCCAUUUGUGACGCUGCUUCUUGAACACAGCUAAUCCUCAGUACUGCCAUGUCAUUACUCCAGUGUAGCAAAGAAAUACAGGAAAGGAGAAAAAAAAAAAAUCGGAGCAGCUUUUUCUGCGCAGAACAGUAUAAAGCAUAAUUUAAUACUGCAGUGAAACUCUUGUAUUCAACAAUCAACUCCCAGCACAAUCUCUUAAGCGGAGCAGCUAAUGCAGAACUGUUUUCUCGAGUGCAUCAGGGCUCCGUGAAGCUGCACCUCCCUUGUAACAUCUAGAAGACUUUGCAGAUCUCCUGGUGAUGAGUCCACUGGACUGUGAAUGUCCAUUACACAGAUUAAUUUAGUUAAGGCAUUGCAUCAUCACUGUACCUUACAGAGGUAACGUCAUGGCUUUCAUCAUCAGGGAUCUGGACCUGUGCUGUCACAGACCCUCCUGUGUAAGUUGUCUUUAAAAGGAUUUUUACACUCGGUAAAAUCAUAAUGGUGCUACGUGUGUUCCUCUGUUUGUUUGAGGACACGCAUUGCUACAGAUUUUCAGACACAGCUACUUGAAUAAAAUGUUUUACCCAGAAAAAUGUUUUAUACGCCAUUUGUGUAUUUCUACUCCAUGAAAGUUUAGGGCCUUGUUCACAAUUCCUGGUACUGAAGGUUUGGGGUUUUUUUUUCCCUCUGUGUCUGUACAGAAGACUUCUACAAGCAGCUAAAGUUAACUGACUGCUUAUAGCUGACCAUUUCAAUCCACAGGGUGAUUGAAACUGGACGCAUCUAACUUGUGCUCUCCAUAACCUACCUCACAGGGAUGUUGUGAGGCUUAAAGAAUGCAGAAGUCUUUUGCUAAUGCCUGCCAGAGUAUUUGUCAUUUAUCCAGUGGCCCAGACGGUGGCAUCUAGCAAAGGUUUUUAGCCUACUGUAAGCUGGAAAACUCCAUUUUGUUCUCAAGGUGCCGGACUGUAGCAAAAGCAGCGUCUGAGAUGUGCUGGAUGCACAACAAGGUGUGUCGCAGCAUCUCUGAACACCCAGCUCUGGGCAAAUCGGAACCAGCAAGUGCUGGUUUUCUUGUCCUAAUCAGUGGCUGACAACUUUCCUUGCUAUAACAGUGUAACAAAGCAAGUCAGGCUCUUUAGCACUCUGUAAAUAACAAAAAAAACCCAAAACUCACUUGCAGUCAAUGCCUGUCAGUUUUGUGGGAUAUUUUAACAAUAACAUUACAACAAAGUAAACAUUAAACAGAUUUUUUUUGACUCCUGCAGAUGCUCUGCUCUUGCUUACAGCUGAAUUUUGGCCAACAAGAUACCAUUCCCUUACUCUAAUGCUUUUUUUUUUUUUUUAAGCUCUCGAGCAGGCUCUUCUGUAUGCAACCUUACUUUCUGCCAGCACCCCAGUGAGUAACAGACGCUUUCAAAGAGAGCAGGGAAGCUGCUCUCCGUACUGAAGAGCUAACAGCAAUCCUCACAGGGCUUGGCUCUAGAGCUUGAGAUCUCAUUAAUAGUAAACUUUUUCCCUUCCCAACUUUAGAAAGAAAAGACGGUGCUAAUCCAUAAGAGAACAUCCCUGUGGCAACUCACUGUUCUGCAUGCAGUUUAAUAUCACAGCCAUGCUCGUCUUUACAUCUUUUUUUUUUUUUUUAGCUGAGAUGGUUUAUUCCUCCUCGUCCAAGCUUUCUGGUGGGAGCAUUUCAGUGCCUGAGACACCCUGCUGCUUGUGCUUCAAGCCCAACGCCCGGGUCACCAGCCUCUUCGCCACUGCAGUGUCAGUCUGGGGUCUUUCUUUUGCGAGGUGAAGGAGCUCUAGGGGGAAAAAAAAGGGUGAAAAUUAUUAAGUUAGUGCUUGUUCAGGAACAGGCUGGUGGCUGAACCACAGGACUGGCAGCCAGAAGGGCUGAUUUCUAUUUUCUUAGUCUUAGAAUUAGCCCCAGGAGCAUGAGCAAAUAAUUCUAUUCCUAUCCAGUAAAUUGCCCUUUCUUUUAGAAGGAUGUGCCUCCAGAUUUGGACUUAACAUUUUUUUUAGCUGUACUUAAGCUCCAGGCCUCUUCUGCAGUGGUAGAGAGAAUUGUUCCCUGUUAACUUUCAGAAAUGGCUUCAUAACUAUUCCUGGCAAAAUUCAGCAGAUCACAUCUCUGAGAACAAAAUGAAGGUACACAGUCCAACCAAUCUAUCCAUCACAGAAAAGUUUGAUCUCAGUUUACACUAAUUUAAAACCAGCUGUCUAAAUCCUUAGAAAGCAGCAAGGAAAAAAAAAAACCUGGAUUUUUUUUAAAAAAUUAGCUAAAUUUAAUCAGAUGCUUUGGGAAAGCCCUUUGGCCAGUAACCUCCAGUUUUGGGUAGAUAUCUGGCUUGCUACAGUUUCAUCUUACAAGAAAUGAAUCUGCCAAAACUUUACCAAAUCCAGACUGCUGUGGACUUGGUAAUUAUCUAAUCAUUUAUCAUAUCAGCAACUGUUUGCAAAUUUAUUAUCCAGUUAGCAAUGGGGGCUUUGCUUGCUUUUUCAGAAGUUGUUAUUAAUAAAGGCAGCCCAUCAGCAGCUUAAAGAAAAAGGGGCAGACUCAAAGCAUCCACAGCUUGGAAAAUAAAACUGCCACUCUUUCUUGACUAAAGCUCAAAAAAAAAAAAAAAGGAAAAAAAAGAGAGACACUGUCAGCCAAUUAAGAUAAUUUGUAUUUGAAAAAAAAGGUACUUAAAUUGAAUAGAAAUAGAGUUUUUAUCUGAUGUUCCCCACAAGGAGUUUAUGACCUGAUUCAGAAGUGUGCUGAUACGCUACAGCAACAAGGAUCAGGGAGCGUGAAUGAAAACCAAUGAAGUGGCAAGUGCAAAACCAAAUCCAAUUCUUUGGCAUUUCAUUUAAAUCGAGCAGUCUUAAAAACUCAGGAACUUCUCACUGUGACAGUGUUCCUUUAAAGCAUUAAUACUGAAAUUUGUUUCAACUGCAAUGUGCUGUAGAAUUAACAGUAUGGUUGUAGGUUCAGCAAAGUCUCUACUGCUACAAGAUUCAUGGCAUUUCUUUACUGUGGCAAGUAUAACUGAUUACAAUAUGAUUUUAAAAGGCAAUAAAAUAAACCAAUGUUAAUGGCUAAGCAUAACAAUUUCUUCCUUUGUGAUACUGAAUAAAAAUUACGCCAACCACAAAA